GGAGCCUCACGCGCCUCUUACCUAACAGGAAGUUGGGUGGAAGCAGCGCGGACCCACGGCGCACCGAACGCACUCCAACAGAACCCGACGCAGACACGCGCUUUCAACCGGCGGAGACACUGGCAGGUUUAUAUGUGGAAGAGACUUGCCCUGUCUCAGCUCUGCUGCCCCCUGCCCCAUACACGUGAUGGAGCAGAAAACGUGCUGUGUGAACCUGUGACUUCAGGGCCUGUUGACGUGGUCGUGCUUGCAUACUCUCUGGACUGGACCUCACUGUGGGAACAACAAGAUCAACAAGAGGAGCAAGAACAACAUCAAGAGUCAGGGCCCGGGGGUCCUGACGGGUACAGGAUGGGUACAGACCCACACAGGAAUCCCAGAGUGUGUUCCACAGCAGGACACGCCUGCGCUGAAAGAGUGGGCAGAAAGGAGCUGACCUGGGAUUAUGAUCCAAACUCAGCUGGGCCUCCCCUACCUGCCCCAGGAUUGUGGAGUGAGAACGUUGCAGCAGGGGAGAACAACGCAGCAAAGCACAGCAGGGGAACCGGAAAUGCUCACCCUUUGACAGGGUACUUUUAGUUCUGGGGCCUUAUCUUAAGGAUAUUCCAACAUAUACAAAAAGAUUCAUGCACAGAGAUAUUUACUUUAGUAUUAUUUACCAUAGGAAAAAAGUUGGAAACAAUACAUUUUAUGUUCUGUAAAAUGAAAGAACAGUUAAAUAAAUCAUGGCUCUAAGACGACUCCAGGGCUGUGUACGGAAGUUCAGGGACUGAAUCAGUUGAGGCUGUUCCACCUGAGCCUAAGCUUCCUCUGCUGUAUGUCAGGAAUCAGGUGGGGGCCAAGCGAGAUCACCACAGUGCAGGCCAGUGUGCAGGGCACAGGUGGGCGCC
rnacentral:lncRNA from 1 species